rnacentral:tmRNA from 1 species
GGGGUCGAUCCGGCUUCGACGUGGGUCACGAAACAGAGUAGGGCAUGUCGAGCACCAGUAAGCUCGUAAAUCCACUGGAACACUACAAACGCCAACGACGAGCGUUUCGCUCUGGCCGCUUAAGCGGUGAGCCGCUGCACUGAUUUGUCUUUGGGUCAGGUAGGGAAACCUACAGCAGCGUCAUUUACAAAGAAUCGGAUCUGUCUGGGUCACUCAGCCAAAUCUUAAAUCCAAGUGAAUCGCCAAGGAAGGGCCUGUCAGUCGGCAUGAUCCGCGGUUAAAUCUCAAAGUAGCCUGACUAAACAUGUAGAACUGCCUGCAGAGGGCUUGCGGACGCGGGUUCAAUUCCCGCCGACUCCACCA